rnacentral:rRNA from 1 species
UGACAGGUGGUGCAUGGUUGUCGUCAGCUCGUGUCGUGAGAUGUUGGGUUAAGUCCCGCAACGAGCGCAACCCUUAUCUUUAAUUGCCAGCAUUCAGUUGGGCACUUUAAAGAGACUGCCGGUGUUAAACCGGAGGAAGUGGGGAUGACGUCAAGUCCUCAUGGCCUUUAUGCUUAGGGCUACACACGUGCUACAAUGGGUGGUACAAAGAGAAGCCAACACGCGAGAGCGCGCCAAUCUCAAAAAGCCAUCCUCAGUUCGGAUUGGAGUCUGCAACUCGACUCCAUGAAGUUGGAAUCGCUAGUAAUCGCGGAUCAGCAUGCCGCGGUGAAUACGUUCCCGGGCCUU